rnacentral:rRNA from 1 species
GAUGAACGCUGGCGGCGUGCCUAAUACAUGCAAGUCGAACGAGGUGCUUGAGUAGCAAUACAAGAGUAUCCUAGUGGCGAACGGGUGAGUAACGCGUGGGUGACCUGCCCCGAAGUGUGGGAUAACAGUCCGAAAGGAUUGCUAAUACCUCAUGUGGUUAUCGGAUUUAGAAACUGAUAACUAAAGCAGCAAUGCGCUUUGGGAGGGACCUGCGUCCCAUCAGCUAGUUGGUGAGGUAAUGGCUCACCAAGGCUACGACGGGUAGGGGACCUGAGAGGGUGGCCCCCCANAAUGGAACUGAAACACGGUCCAUACACCUACGGGUGGCAGCAGUAGGGAAUAUUGCACAAUGGGCGAAAGCCUGAUGCAGCAACGCCGCGUGUGCGAUGAAGGCCUUGGGUCGUAAAGCACUUUCUGUAGAGAUGAGAAAGGACAGUAUCUCAGGAUAAGUACUUGGCUAACUACGUG